UGGNUUGUAACUGCUUUUGUNCAGGAAGAAACAGUUCUACGUGUAGAACCUUGACGGUACUGUAAGAAUAAGGAUCGGCUAACUCCGUGCCAGCAGCCGCGGUAAUACGGAGGAUCCAAGCGUUAUCCGGAAUCAUUGGGUUUAAAGGGUCCGUAGGCGGUUUAGUAAGUCAGUGGUGAAAGCCCAUCGCUCAACGGUGGAACGGCCAUUGAUACUGCUAGACUUGAAUUAUUAGGAAGUAACUAGAAUAUGUAGUGUAGCGGUGAAAUGCUUAGAGAUUACAUGGAAUACCAAUUGCGAAGGCAGGUUACUACUAAUGGAUUGACGCUGAUGGACGAAAGCGUGGGUAGCGAACAGGAUUAGAUACCCUGGUAGUCC
rnacentral:rRNA from 1 species